rnacentral:rRNA from 1 species
GAUGAACGCUGGCGGUAUGCUUAACACAUGCAAGUCGAACGGACUCUUCGGAGUUAGUGGCGGACGGGUGAGUAACGCGUGGGAAUCUGGCUUUGGGUUCGGGACAACCACUGGAAACGGUGGCUAAUACCGGAUGUGCCGAGAGGUAAAAGAAAAAUUGCCUGAAGUUGAGCUCGUGUCUGAUUAGCUAGUUGGUGAGGUAAAGUCUCACCAAGGCAGCGAUCAGUAGCUGGUCUGAGAGGAUGACCAGCCACAGGGGGACUGAGACACGGCCCAGACUCCCACGGGGCGCAGGUGUGGGAAAUUUCCCGAAAGGGGCGAGCGCCUGACGGAGCAAUACCGCGUGGGGGAAGAAGGCUCUUGGGUUGUAAAGCUUUUUUCUUAGGGAAGAACAAAAUGACGGUACCUAAGGAAUCAGCACCGGCUAACUCCGUG